AUCGCUUCUCGGCCUUUUGGCUAAGAUCAAGUGUAGUAUCUGUUCUUAUCAGUUUGAUCGCUGAUAUGUUGACUAUAUGUCAACAUUCGAUCAAAUGUAUUUUUGCUCCUUGGAGAGUGGCUCGAAGCUUGCUUCACCCUCUCCACGGAUCACCCUGGUAUUGUAGUUCUUCCAGGUGUGGUCCAUCUCCC